CUUGUAGAUGGCCCUGCUGUUUGCAAAAUGCCAGGUUAGACAAGAGAAUCAAACCCCUGAAGCACGGCCUGGAUGGGCAGGACCUCCCGGGAACUGGCUUUACAGGAAGCCUUUUAAAAAAUAGUUGGAAAUUGAAAUCACCCCAAGGAACUACUAAACAGCCGAGCCUCGCAGCUUCUUCUGGAUUGAGCCGUAGCUGAUUCCUGUGAACUGGAUUGCUAACAUCCUGACAACACAGAUUGGAUUUGCUCCAAAGAACUAUUUCUAAACAGGUCCAAUUUCCCUGUAUCCCAGUAACCUUUUUUUUCCCACUACCACUGGUGGGUGGUGGGCUGGAAGGGAGGUUAAAGCAUUUAAGAACCCUUAUUAAAGUAGGUUCUGAAAAACCUAAGCCAAUAGCUCUGUUUGUAGGUGUAAGGGAUUUAUCAAACGACCACAAAGAUAUUAUUGAUGUCAUGUGGCCCUGGACAUGCAACUUCGCAGCCUAUUCACGGUCACGGCACCCCUUAUCAGUCAGUCCACCUUGCAGAGCGCCCCCACUGAUGGAAACCCAUUCUGCCCAGGAACUUGUGUCACACUGACACUGGUUUUGCUUGUUCUCACAGAGGCACUGGCUUGCUUGCUGUCAGAGAGAAUUAAAUUCUACUACUGAGCUACUUCGGAGAGUGUGUUCGGAAAGGCUGGGCUGUAGCUCAGUGGCAGCCUGCUUGCCCAGCAUGCACCAGGCUCCAGGUUCAAACCCAUGCUCCAUCCCAACACUGGGACGUAAAGGGAGGAGGAUCUCCCAGGAGUUCAAGGCUCAUCUUGAGCUACAAAGUGGCCAAGCAGUCUGCAUAGGAAGGUAGAUGCCAGGAAACAGAUGCUACCAAGCCUACAGUCAAGACCUUGUCUGUGUCCCCCUCUCAGAGGGUUGCCUGCCACCCACAGAGAAGCAGCAACUUGGUUCCUUCUCACGGAGCUCUCCUGCACUUGCUCACCUGUUCUCAAACUCUGAUUCUGUGGCUGUGUGGUACAGCUGAGGCAGGGGCAGUGCAGAGCGGCUAAGAGGAGGGGCGACUGAUCUUAGAGUCAGUGGAGUUGGAAUUCACAUUGUCUUUGUGGAGAUGGAAGUGUCAGGAGUUGCACAGGGGCAACAAGUGCAAAUGGGCUCACUGAUUGCCCCCUUGCCCCAUAUCCUUUAGUGGUGCCUGGGCCACAGCCUGUGGCCAUGCAGUUUGUAACAGUCAUGAAAAUCUAUAGAUAAAUCCAUUGUGUCACUUAGCCUGUGGCUGCAGAUGCCCAGAGGCCCUCUUCCCAAGCCUCACAAGGUGCCUAUGGCUAGAAGUGGCUGCAAGUGUAAUCAAAGGGUCCUGCCACUGAGCCCUGUGCAGUGUGUGCUGGAAACCUGGUUGCUAUGAUGAGGUGGGGCUCUCGGGAAGGAAUAAGUAAUGGGGUUGGGGAAGGCUCAACUAUUAUGAGCUGAUGUUGAUAUUAUAGAAG
rnacentral:lncRNA from 1 species